GAUGAACGCUAGCGGCAGGCCUAACGCAUGCAAGUCGAGGGAGAAGCCCUUUCGGGGGCAGAAACCGGCGCACGGGUGCGUAACGCGUAUGCAACCUACCUUUCACAGGGGGAUAGCCCGAAGAAAUUUGGAUUAAUACCCCAUAAUAUUAUUGGAUGGCAUCAUUUGAUAAUUAAGACUGCGGUGGUGAAAGAUGGGCAUGCGUCCUAUUAGCUAGUUGGAGUGGUAACGGCACCCCAAGGCUACGAUAGGUAGGGGUCCUGAGAGGGAGAUCCCCCACACUGGUACUGAGACAGGGACCAGACUCCUACGGGAGGCAGCAGUGAGGAAUAUUGGUCAAUGGUCGGAAGACUGAACCAGCCAUGCCGCGUGCAGGAAGAAUGCCUUAUGGGUUGUAAACUGCUUUUAUAUGGGAAGAAUAAAGGUGUACG
rnacentral:rRNA from 1 species